rnacentral:misc_RNA from 1 species
UCCCCGUUAUCCGGGGCGGUUUCGCUAGAGUGCCCGACUUGACUCGCUGGCAACUAACGAUAAGGGUUGCGCUCGUUGCGGGACUUAACCCAACAUCUCACGACACGAGCUGACGACAACCAUGCACCACCUGUCACCCUGUCCCGAAGGACUUCGCCCAUCUCUGGGUUAUGCAGGGGAUGUCAAGUCUAGGUAAGGUUCUUCGCGUUGCUUCGAAUUAAACCACAUGCUCCGCUGCUUGUGCGGGUCCCCGUCAAUUCCUUUGAGUUUUAAUCUUGCGACCGUACUCCCCAGGCGGGGUACUUAUUGUGUUAACUGCGGCACUGAUCGGGUCAAUCCGACCAACACCUAGUUCACAACGUUUAGGGCGUGGACUAC